UAGGGAAUCUUCGGCAAUGGACGAAAGUCUGACCGAGCAACGCCGCGUGAGUGAAGAAGGUUUUCGGAUCGUAAAACUCUGUUGUUAGAGAAGAACAAGUGGGAGAGUAACUGUUCCCACCUUGACGGUAUCUAACCAGAAAGCCACGGCUAACUACGUGCCAGCAGCCGCGGUAAUACGUAGGUGGCAAGCGUUGUCCGGAUUUAUUGGGCGUAAAGCGAGCGCAGGCGGUUUCUUAAGUCUGAUGUGAAAGCCCUCGGCUCAACCGAGGAAGGUCAUUGGAAACUGGGAACCUGAAUGCAGAAGAGGAGAGUGGAAUUCCAUGUGUAGCGGUGAAAUUGCGUAGAUAUAUGGAGGAACACCAGUGGCGAAAGGCGACUCUCUGGUCUGUAAUUGACGCUGAGGCUCGAAAGCGUGGGAGCAAAACA
rnacentral:rRNA from 1 species